UGCAAGUCGAACGGUAACGCGGGGCAACCUGGCGACGAGUGGCGAACGGGUGAGUAAUACAUCGGAACGUACCCAGUAGUGGGGGAUAGCCCGGCGAAAGCCGGAUUAAUACCGCAUACGACCUACGGGUGAAAGCGGGGGAUCGCAAGACCUCGCGCUAUUGGAGCGGCCGAUGUCAGAUUAGGUAGUUGGUGGGGUAAAGGCCUACCAAGCCGACGAUCUGUAGCUGGUCUGAGAGGACGACCAGCCACACUGGGACUGAGACACGGCCCAGACUCCUACGGGAGGCAGCAGUGGGGAAUUUUGGACAAUGGGCGCAAGCCUGAUCCAGCCAUGCCGCGUGCGGGAUGAAGGCCUUCGGGUUGUAAAC
rnacentral:rRNA from 1 species